rnacentral:sRNA from 1 species
CGGUAGUGUUUUGUAAAAAAGUUAAAAUCCACCUGCAAUCUGCAGCCAUGUAUCUGCCAGAAUCAUUCCGCGCACCCACAUUUUCAUACGGACCUGAUGGAAAUGGUUUCUCUCUUGGAUGCAGUAAAAAUUGGAGACAAGUCUUUGGUGAUGAAAAGAAAUAUUGGCUACUUCCAAUAUUUUCAAGCUUGGGUGAUGGUUGCAGUUUUCCAACUCGCCUUGUGGGGAUGGAUCCAGAACAAGCUUCUGUUACAAACCAGAAUGAGUAUGCCAGAAGAUCUAAACUGCAGAGGUAGAAAGCAGAAAACUUGGGAAAUGACAGUAGUGGCUCAAAUCAGCCUUUUCCUAUCAAACCACUUAGUGAAUCAAAAAACCGCUUGUUGGACAGUGAAUCUCAGUGGCUGGAGAAUGGAGCUGAAGAAGGCAUCAUCAAAUCAGGUGUAUGAAAACAUUAUAGACUGGUAUUUUCAAUUUUCAUUUGCAAGGAAAUGAUCAGUGGAAUGAAAUAACUGAAGUAUAACAGAAGAUAUAUUUUUUAAAACGGAAAGCCUUUGUACAGUUCCUGGGAUUUCACAGAAGC